CCUACGGGUGGCAGCAGUGGGGAAUAUUGGGCAAUGGGCGCAAGCCUGACCCAGCAACGCCGCGUGAAGGAAGAAGGCCCUCGGGUUGUAAACUUCUUUUGUCAGGGACGAAGAAAGUGACGGUACCUGAGGAAUAAGCCACGGCUAACUACGUGCCAGCAGCCGCGGUAAUACGUAGGUGGCAAGCGUUAUCCGGAUUUACUGGGUGUAAAGGGCGUGUAGGCGGGACUGCAAGUCAGAUGUGAAAACCAUGGGCUCAACCUGUGGCCUGCAUUUGAAACUGUAGUUCUGGAGUACUGGAUAGGCAGACGGAAGUCCGGGUGUAGCGGUGAAAUGCGUAGAUAUUAGGAGGAACACCAGUGGCGAAGGCGGUCUGCUGGACAGCAACUGACGCUGAGGCGCGAAAGCGUGGGGAGCAAACAGGAUUAGAUACCCCGGUAGUC
rnacentral:rRNA from 1 species